CAGGAAUACUAUGGACUGAGGGCUACAAGCUUUUAGAAGAUAUAAGGUCUGCAGAGGCAGGAGAGUUGUCUGCUAUGUUAAGAGCACCCAUGAUCGUGUUACUUGAACAAAACAAGGAAAAGAGACUUCAUCAGUCCUCGAGCAGUCCCAGAUUUUCUGAACUUGGAAGUCUAAAGAGUCUACUGCUGUGGAAUUACGUGGUCAAGAAAAAACAAACAGCAAGGGGCUCCAAGAAAAUGCUUUCUCUCCUGGUUGAGGAGCCUUAAUGAUCUGCUGAGUGAGAAUGAUUUCUGUAUUGCAAGUCAGUUCUUGAAUGCUUUAUUUUUAUGUACAUUUCAGCACUUCUC
rnacentral:lncRNA from 1 species